rnacentral:rRNA from 1 species
GAUGAACGCUGGCGGCGUGCCUAAUACAUGCAAGUCGAGCGAACAGACGAGGAGCUUGCUCCUCCGACGUUAGCGGCGGACGGGCGAGUAACACGUGGAUAACCUACCUAUAAGACUGGGAUAACUUCGGGAAACCGGAGCUAAUACCGGAUAAUAUAUUGAACCGCAUGGUUCAAUAGUGAAAGACGGUUUUGCUGUCACUUAUAGAUGGAUCCGCGCCGCAUUAGCUAGUUGGUAAGGUAACGGCUUACCAAGGCAACGAUGCGUAGCCGACCUGAGAGGGUGAUCGGCCACACUGGAACUGAGACACGGUCCAGACUCCUACGGGAGGCAGCAGUAGGGAAUCUUCCGCAAUGGGCGAAAGCCUGACGGAGCAACGCCGCGUGAGUGAUGAAGGUCUUCGGAUCGUAAAACUCUGUUAUUAGGGAAGAACAAAUGUGUAAGUAACUAUGCACGUCUUGACGGUACCUAAUCAGAAAGCCACGGCUAACUACGUG